rnacentral:rRNA from 1 species
GGACUACAAGGGUAUCUAAUCCUGUUUGCUCCCCUAGCUUUCGUUCCUCAGCGUCAGUUGUGGUCCAGCGCGCCGCUUUCGCCACGGGUGUUCCUGCAGAUAUCUACGCAUUUCACCGCUACACCUGCAAUUCCACGCGCCUCUCCCACACUCCAGCACGGCAGUUUCGGAAGCAGCUUCUGGGUUAAGCCCAGAAAUUUCACUCCCGACUUGCCGCACCGCCUACGAACCCUUUACACCCAGUAAUUCCGAACAACGCUGGCCCCCUACGUCUUACCGCGGCGGCUGGCAC